CCUACGGGAGGCAGCAGUGGGGAAUAUUGGACAAUGGGGGGAACCCUGAUCCAGCGACGCCGCGUGAGUGAAGAAGUAUUUCGGUAUGUAAAGCUCUAUCAGCAGGGAAGAAAGAAAUGACGGUACCUGACUAAGAAGCCCCGGCUACCUACGUGCCAGCAGCCGAGGUAAUACGUAGGGGGCAAGCGUUAUCCGGAUUUACUGGGUGUAAAGGUAGCGUAGACGGCGAUGCAAGUCUGAAGUGAAAGGCGGGGGCCCAACCUCCGGACUGCUUUGGAAACUGUAUGGCUGGAGUGCAGGAGAGGUAAGUGGAAUGCGUAGUGUAGCGGUGAAAUGCGGAGAUAUUAGGAAGAACACCAGUGGCGAAGGCGGCUUACUGGACUGUAACUGACGUUGAGGCUCGAAAGCGUGGGGAGCGAACAGGAUUAGAUACCCCUGUAGUC
rnacentral:rRNA from 1 species